AAUAUUGCGCAAUGGGCGAAAGCCUGACGCAGCGACGCCGCGUGAGUGAUGAAGGNCUNNGGGUCNUNAAACUCUUUCCUCAGNNNNNAAAAUUUGACGNUACCUGAGGAGGAAGCCCCGGCACACUACGUGCCAGCAGCCGCGGUAAUACGUAGGGGGCGAGCGUUGUCCGGAAUUAAUGGGCUUAAAGGGUGCGUAGGCUGCCUUUUAAGUCAGGUGUGAAAGACCACAGCUUAACUGUGGGGUUGCACUUGAAACUGGGAGGCUUGAGUAUCGGAGAGGGCAGUGGAAUUCCCGGUGUAGCGGUGAAAUGCGUAGAUAUAGGAAGGAACACCAGUGGCGAAGGCGACUACCUGGACUGAUACUGACACUGAGGUGCGAAAGCGUGGGGAACAAAC
rnacentral:rRNA from 1 species